UGACUCUUGACCAAAAGGGCUUCCUUCCGGUCAAUGAGGAUGUACCUUGUUGAUCAGAAGGAAACCCUUCCCAUUACCUUGCCAAUUGGAAGGAAACCCUUCCAAUCAAUGAGGUACAUGUACCUCAUCAACUGGAAGGAAACCCUCCCAAUCAAUGAGGUA
rnacentral:miRNA from 1 species